rnacentral:rRNA from 1 species
GAUGAACGCUAGCGGCAGGCUUAACACAUGCAAGUCGAGGGGCAGCGCGAUGUAGCAAUACAUUGGCGGCGACCGGCGCACGGGUGCGUAACACGUAUGGAACUUACCCUUUACUGGGAGAUAGCCCGGAGAAAUCCGGAUUAAUAUCCCAUAAUAAACGAAGUGGCAUCACUUUGUUUUGAAAGCUCCGGCGGUAAAGGAUGGCCAUGCGCACGAUUAGCUAGUAGGUGAGGUAACGGCUCACCUAGGCUACGAUCGUUAGGGGGCCUGAGAGGGUUAUCCCCCACACUGGUACUGAGACACGGACCAGACUCCUACGGGAGGCAGCAGUGAGGAAUAUUGCGCAAUGGAGGCAACUCUGACGCAGCCAUGCCGCGUGCAGGAAGAAGGCGCUACGCGUUGUAAACUGCUUUUAACCGGGAAGAAACCCUCCGACGUGUCGGAGGUUGACGGUACCGGAGGAAUAAGCACCGGCUAACUUCGUGCCAGCAGCCGCGGUAAUGUAUCG